CCUACGGGAGGCAGCAGUGAGGAAUAUUGGGCAAUGGACGAGAGUCUGAACCAGCCAAGUAGCGUGAAGGAUGACUGCCCUAUGGGUUGUAAACUUCUUUUAUAUGGGAAUAAAACAGGGUAUGCAUACCCUCUUGUAUGUACCAUAUGAAUAAGGAUCGGCUAACUCCGUGCCAGCAGCCGCGGUAAUACGGAGGAUCCGAGCGUUAUCCGGAUUUAUUGGGUGUAAAGGGAGCGUAGGUGGAUUGUUAAGUCAGUUGUGAAAGUUUGCGGCUCAACCGUAAAAUUGCAGUUGAAACUGGCAGUCUUGAGUACAGUAGAGGUGGGCGGAAUUCGUGGUGUAGCGGUGAAAUGCUUAGAUAUCACGAAGAACUCCGAUUGCGAAGGCAGCUCACUGGACUGCAACUGACACUGAUGCGCGAAAGUGUGGGUAGCAAACAGGAUUAGAUACCCCGGUAGUC
rnacentral:rRNA from 1 species